rnacentral:rRNA from 1 species
CCUACGGGGGGCUGCAGUGGGGAAUAUUGGACAAUGGGGGGGACCCUGAUCCAGCCAUGCCGCGUGUGUGAAGAAGGCCCUCGGGUUGUAAAGCACUUUCAGUGAGGAAGAACGCCUGGUGGUUAAUACCCAUCAGGAAAGACAUCACUCACAGAAGAAGCACCGGCUAACUCCGUGCCAGCAGCCGCGGUAAUACGGAGGGUGCGAGCGUUAAUCGGAAUUACUGGGCGUAAAGCGCGCGUAGGUGGCUGGAUAAGCCGGUUGUGAAAGCCCCGGGCUCAACCUGGGAACGGCAUCCGGAACUGUCAAGCUAGAGUGCAGGAGAGGAAGGUAGAAUUCCCGGUGUAGCGGUGAAAUGCGUAGAGAUCGGGAGGAAUACCAGUGGCGAAGGCGGCCUUCUGGACUGACACUGACACUGAGGUGCGAAAGCGUGGGUAGCAAACAGGAUUAGAUACCCGAGUAGUC